UUUCACUGAUCUCAUCAGUGAAGCAACUUUUCACUGUUAAAACAGUUAUUAUUUCACUGCUUGAAAUUGUUCGGUUAUUUCAACUAUCAAAACAGUGAAUAUUCACUUUCAAAAAACAGUGAAAUUCAUUCACUGUUCAAAACAGUGAAUUGAUCUUCCCGCCGAAUCGUAUCGAUUAACAAAAUGGCCGCCGGCGGUGCAGUAGCGCGGAAGGUCAGUUUGGCGGGAUCGUGCGACAAGUUGACACAUGCGGAUGCCCUCGCGGAUGCCGGACACGUGCGGAUGCCGUAUAUUUGACGAACUCGUUGCUCGUUUCUAUUGCUGCUCUUGCUGCUUAUAAUAUAUUGGUACGCAAACAAUACUUCGUAUAAGCAUACGAAAAAUCAAUUGAUGUAUGUACAGACAUACAAGAAGGUUAUCUCGAGGCUUGAGGGUUAUAUGCAAUAUACAUAACGUAGAGAGAAGCAGCUUUUCAACUUAUUUGUUGUGUGCACUCGUUAAACAAAGUUUUUCAUUCCUCUAAAACCAUAAACGAUGGAUCAGAUGAAAGAUCCUGCAGAUUUGAGGAGUUAUUUGGAAAAUAUUAUUAAUGAUAAAUCAGCUGUCGAACUACUAGAAGGUAAGACAUUCUUAUAUGUAUUAUGAGGAUUUUGUCGUAAUCGAAUAAUUACAGGAUUCGCACUGAGAGAAGAUUGUGGCUAUAUAUAUGUCCACGAUCAAAAUUAUUCAAGAUGAUAAUCUUAAGGCUUUACUGAUCUUAAUCGACUUGCUUCCUACAUCGAACGCAUGCAUAAGAGGUGGCAAAGAGUAUUGAAAGCAUACAGAAUUUUUCAGAAGAAAAAAGACUGCGCAUGGGAACGCCUAUUCAACCGUACAUAGUCGCUAUUGAUGGGCGUACUACACAGUUUCAAGUCCAAGGCGAUGGCCGUAUUAUUGCCCGAAAACCCUCAAAUGAAAUAAUCACUACAUUUUACCUUCUGUUUAAAAUGUAUUAUGUUUUUAACUUAACGUAUCCUAUUCUACUACAGAAUUUUUAUCUCUUUAUGCAAGUAAAUGUUUAUGGCAUACAGGACAAGUGCCCUGAAAGUGUAUCGUCGUUGUAUACUGCCUUAAAUUCUGUAGAAGAAGAGGAUGAUGAAGAAAUCUCCGAAAAUAAU